CCGGCACAUUAUUCCGCACAUCUGGGCACCCUUCUAAACAGCAUUUUUUUUCUGAUUUGAUUUGACAACUGAAACUUUGUUGUUGUCCUGGUUGUUAACCAGUAAAUAAAAAAAAAUGGUCGCGGAUUAACCAGCUUCUUUCAUCCAGAAUUUGAUUUGGUUUGCUUCCAGCGAAAGGUGGCCAUUCCGCAAAACAACCGCGGCGAGAAAUGAAACAUUAUCUUGUUCACCGAGGGUCAGAAAAUUCUCAUCAACCAAAUUUAAACCGACGACCAAGUUUUCCGGAUGCCUGUCGCACCUUUGUGCAGGCCCAUCCCAAUAUAUUUGUGGACUAAUUACAAAUCCAAAUCAAUUAUUGAUUGUGAUCAGGCUGAGAAACAAGUUUUGAAAUCUCCGCCAAGAGAUACUUGAACAAGAACUAGAAAAUGGUCAAAUGAAACUAAAUGCUCAGCCGAGAAGGAUAAAAACCAGAAAUAUUACUGACAAAUCCUGACAAGCGUUUGCACGUUGCAGAUGGACGUGGAAAAACUUGAACCGUUAUUUUGCUAAAAUACAUCAACUCGACGAGACCGAAGCGGAAAGGUAAAUUUGUCAUCAGAUUGGAAGAGUCUACCACCCCACGGCAGAGAUGCACAAGAUAAAUUCGUUCUUGUUUUUAUGUGGCAGCUGAGAAAGAAGCUGCUAAAAUUAUCAAAUUAGUUCAUAGUCGUAAAUAGUGGUUCAAAUAUAUGAAAACUAAUGAA